rnacentral:rRNA from 1 species
CUACGUGCCAGCAGCCGCGGUAAUACGGAAGGUUCGGGCGUUAUCCGGAUUUAUUGGGUUUAAAGGGAGCGUAGGCCGUAGAUUAAGCGUGUUGUGAAAUGUAGAUGCUCAACAUCUGACUUGCAGCGCGAACUGGUUUACUAGAGUGUGCGCAACGUAGGCGGAAUUCGUCGUGUAGCGGUGAAAUGCUUAGAUAUGACGAAGAACUCCGAUUGCGAAGGCAGCUUACGGGAGCACAACUGACGCUGAAGCUCGAAGGUGCGGGUAUCAAACAGGAUUAGAUACCCUGGUAGUCCGCACAGUAAACGCUGGAUGCCCGCUGUUGGUUCAUUAGAGUCAGCGGCCAAGCGAAAGCAUUAAGCAUCCCACCUGGGGAGUACGCCGGCAACGGUGAAACUCAAAGGAAUUGACGGGGGCCCGCACAAGCGGAGGAACAUGUGGUUUAAUUCGAUGAUACGCGAGGAACCUUACCCGGGCUKAA